AGGGAAUCUUCCGCAAUGGGCGAAAGCCUGACGGAGCAACGCCGCGUGAGUGAUGAAGGUUUUCGGAUCGUAAAGCUCUGUUGCCAGGGAAGAACGUCGGGUAGAGUAACUGCUAUCCGAGUGACGGUACCUGAGAAGAAAGCCCCGGCUAACUACGUGCCAGCAGCCGCGGUAAUACGUAGGGGGCAAGCGUUGUCCGGAAUUAUUGGGCGUAAAGCGCGCGCAGGCGGCUGUUAAGUCUGGUGGUUAAUCCUGGGGCUCAACCCCGGGUCGCACUGGAAACUGGACAGCUUGAGUGCAGAAGAGGAGAGUGGAAUUCCACGUGUAGCGGUGAAAUGCGUAGAUAUGUGGAGGAACACCAGUGGCGAAGGCGACUCUCUGGGCUGUAACUGACGCUGAGGCGCGAAAGCGUGGGGAGCAAAC
rnacentral:rRNA from 1 species